rnacentral:rRNA from 1 species
UACGUAGGCAGCGAGCGUUGUUCGGAGUUACUGGGCGUAAAGGGUGUGUAGGCGGUUCUCUAAGUUUGGUGUGAAAUCUCCCGCUCAACCGGGAGGGUGCGCCGAAAACUGGAGGCUAGAGUGCGGGAAGGGAGAGUAGAAUUCUGGUGUAGCGGUGAAUAUGUAGAUAUCUAGGAGGAAUACCGGUGGUGUAGACGGCUCUCUGGACCGCGACUGACGCUGAGACACGAAAAGCGUGGGUAGCAAACAGG